ACAUAUAAUGUGUUUGGCCCUUUCUUAACUAUGCUGGAGUCGUCUUCCAGUCGGAUAUAACCGGAUGCUGCUGAAAAUUAGUGUUUUAUAUGGAGUGAGCCUAUCUUUUUCUUCCUCCUGCCCUAUUACUGACGUCUUAAAUCCAGUUACCGGGCCAACCCGAUACCCCUUGGUAAAAUUGGUUGUCAGACUUUCUUGCUUUAGACAAGAUGGUCACUCAUCCACGGAACGACAGCGCCAAGCCUUGCUUUUAACCUUUCAAUCGAUUCGCGCCACCAUUAUAUUAUAUUUCCGCAAAAGCUUUUUCAGGUCAGCUCAUUACGUCGUGUAGUUUGAUAUUUAAUGCAUAGUAUAUUAUUUAAUAGGUACCUAGAAGGUACCUAGUUCUUGAAAGUGUGAGUUGAGAGUUUGCAGUCAGGUGAAAUGAGGGUUUUUGAAAUUUUUUCUGCCACCGGGUGGCGCCACGUAUGCGUCUGGUCCAAACAGCUGUCAAAUAGUAUGGAAUUGUAGGUGCCGAACUUAUUGUUUAUUGAAAUUCUGUUAUAUUGGAAGUGUUAUUGAUUUUAUUAUGGACUACGGUCAGAAUAAGGUUUCCGAACUAAAAAUUGAGCUAAGAGAGAAGGUGCAAAAGUCACUGGUACUAAGGAAAAGCUUGUUGAAAAAUUUGUUAACACAAUAUGAUUUAGUUUUUUUUAUUUACUCAACCGCAAUAGUAAAACAAUAAUGCAGUGCUUUAAUUAUAAAAUAAAAAAAACACUAAAAUCGUUCACUAUUCAUAGUAAAGAUAAGCACUUUGACAGUUAUUGGACCUGACGACUCGGUGCUGCCAUCUCGUGGAUUGCCAUUUUAGAAAACCCUCAUUGGUGCAAUGCGUCAAGUGUGCCACGUUAUUCUUGAAGCUUGAGCUUUCUGGCUCAAGGCUAAAGCUCAAUGUAUACCUGUACCUGAAACGUAGGUCAUAUACUGUUAUCAUAUUUUUAUAUCAAGACUAUACAUAUUUCGGGUACUGCAUUUCUAUGCAUUAAUUUUCCACUAUUAUAGUGCAGUAACGUAAUGACGUCAAGGUACUGUAAAUAAACAGUUAGAGUAGGUUUGUUUACGGUUCCGAUGCACUAGCGUACUAUUUGUGUAGUUACGUGAACUCACCAGAGGCACUACCAUGGUUUAUUUACACUGCGCUGAUGCAAUCGGCUAACCUUACAGAUAUUGAGUGAUAUAGCGGUUUGAUGUCAGAGAUCAUAAAAAAACGGAUGUCAAAUGUACACCAGUGAAAUAAUUGCAAUCCUAUCAUUAAAUAAUCUUUUUUCACUAUCAAAAUUUAUCAGAAAGCAAUAUUUGUUUAUAGCAUUUAUAAAUAAGGAAAAUGAUAACUGAUCUAAAUGAAUUCCGUGCGUGGUGCGUACUAAUGUCGUCUACAAGUAAUUCAUACGCGAAACUCCAGCCAUGCUAGCACAAACUAGUUUGUGAUAACGAGAUCGGUAACAUUCAUGUAUAUAUAUGUAUGUAAAUUACCGUUCCCCAAUUCGUGGAAAUACUGAAGAAACUUGAUUUUUAUGUUAUGAUAACAAAAUAACAUUAAUUAUUUCAUUAAAAUAAGAGUAAAUCUAUGUGUAUAUACAUAUAUAUAUAUGUAACCCGGUUUCCGUUGUCACGAGUCACGACAUACUUAACAUGAAAACGGCUUGACCGAUUUGGCUGAAAAUUAGAGAGGAAGUAACUUAGACCCGGGAGAAGGUUUUAGGAUAGUUUUUGUCACCAUCCGUCUACGUGACGCGGGUAAAACCGCGGGCGAAAGCUAGUAAUAUAUAAUUGUUUUAAGUAAGAAGAACGAAACACAACUUCAUCUUCAAAGUCAUGGUAAUUUGCAAAGAGUCGUAGAUACUCUUGACUUGACUCGUGACAAUAGACAAUAAAAUUGCAACGUCAUUUCUAGACCAAAAUUGUGUUAACUGCCUUAGUUACGUCACAUGGCACUGAGUCUGAGUGCCGUACCGUACCAUUAACUUUAACACACCGACUAGGUAUUUGUUGUACCUACCUACAUGCAACUGGAACGGUUUGCUAAUAACUCUCAAGGUCUAAAUAAUUACUCAUAUUCAUUACCUCUGCUGUGCAAUGUCUCCAUGCAUAAUAAUGCCAGAGAACUGCUUUAGUAUUUGCCCUUUUGUAUGUGAGCAGUAGGUACUAAUAAAGAGUUUCAACGUCGGGUCCAGAAUGUACCCUUGUGGUACACUAGCCCUCUUAUUAUAAAACGCGGUAUCAAAUAAGUAUCGGCUUUUGUACUACCUUUAAUCCACCUUUAAGUACGACCUUGAAAAAACGUUAUUACAAAACGCAGUUUAUCGCAAGUCCUAUUACUAUCUGUAGUACAAAAGAUAAACCAUCGAGCCCCCUAGUUUAACUGCAGUACUUAGUCGACAAACGUCAAAUUCCGACAUUAUUUACUUUUGAGGUUAUUUGUUUUGUGAUGAAAAAAACGAAAGUGGAUAUAAAUAUGUGUGAUUUGGAAUACUUGGAUGUGUUAGAAUACUAUUGAGAGUGUCCGGGGACCCAACAGAAUGCGUCAUCGACAAAAUCUCUUCAAAUUACCUGACGACAAUUUUCGAUAUAAAUAUCGAUUUACGUUUUUCGAAAUAAUAGUCAAUUGAAUGCAUGAUGAUAAUCCAGGAUGAUUCUAUGAUGCUCAACUGGGCUCGCCAUAAAAUUCAAGACUAUUUUGGCGUUUUGCACGCCGUAUCUCUGAGAGUAAUAUGCAAUGUUUGUAAAAGACUGGAAGCUUGCUAAAAUGUACAAAAAUGCGUAGAUGAGAAAGGGAACAAGAUUGUGUGAUGAAGAACAGUGUCCAACAUGUAUCAGUGCAUUUGACUGUAUAAAUAGACAUCGGAAUAAAAUAUAAUUUUCUACUUU